UGAUUAAUCACGAAGGUAAAGUGUGACAGCCAUAGGACCUCGUUGGUAGCAUAUAAAGAGGCCAUCAUCUCUCACAACUGGAGGGCGGAAAAGGCUGAGUAUCAGACCCGAGAUUGAAUUUAUAAGAGUUGUGGCACCCCAGAGAUGGUCAAAUUCUCAACCCUAUGCAGUCGGUGAUGCCAAGGUCAGGGUCCUUGUGCCAGUGCUGUGAGACUGCAGCACAGUUCAGUGCCUCCCUCCCUCUGCCUAGCCUCGCUGCCUUCACUCCUCACAAGAGCACCCCCACAAGAAUCUUCCUGUACCCUAAUCUCAAUUUCAGAAUCAGCUUCUCAAGAACCCCACGUUGGACAGGGCAGACGACCGUACCAACGAGGAGUCAUCAGUUCCCCGCCAGCAGGGCUCAGUCUCUUCACUCAGGGUUCAGCUCAAAUACUGCUUCCUCGAGAACAUUCCUUGACCACUUAUCCUGAAGUAUUCCAUGUCAUGCCUGCUCAGUUUCGGUUUUGAGGGUCCAAAAUCUGAAGCAACUUAUCUGGGCAGAUCUCUCUCCUAAGGUUGCGAUCAAGAUGGGGCUGCAGACUCUGAGGAUUUGACUGGGGCUGAAGAACCCACUUCUGAGCUCAUCCAGGAGGCUGUUUGCAGGAAGCUAUAGUUUCUUACCAUGUGGGCCUCUCCAUGGGACUGUUCUCAGCAUGGCUUUCCCCAUAGCUGAUACUGAUACUGGGAGAAAGAGGAAGAGAUAGAGAGAAAGAGACGAAAAAGGGAGAGAGAGAGAGAGAAUGCAAUGCUGCUCUGCCCUUAGAGAGAGAGCGAGAGAGAGAGAAAAAGAGAGAAAAAGAGAGAGAGAAUGCAAUGCUGCCCUGCCCUUUAUGGCCUAGUCACCAAUUACACAUCAUCCCACCUGCCUUAUCCUUUGCUUAGUAAGUCACAAAGCUCAGUCCAUGCUCUAUGGAAGAAGCUAAUAUGGCGGUGGAAAUACCAGAAGAUGGGCCUCAAUGCUGGCCAUCUUGGAGGCUGGCAACCACAAGAUAUUUAGACCAUUUACAUUUAAUAUAAUUAUUGAUAUGUUUAUGUUCAAAUCUAUUAUCUUAUUUUUUUAUUUCUACCACCUGUUCUUUGUUUCAUUUUCCC
rnacentral:lncRNA from 1 species